rnacentral:rRNA from 1 species
AUUGAACGCUGGCGGCAGGCUUAACACAUGCAAGUCGAGCGAGCGGCGGACGGGUGAGUAAUGUCUGGGAAACUGCCUGAUGGAGGGGGAUACCUACUGGAAACGGUCGCUAAUCCCGCAUACCAUCAUAUGUGCCCAGAUGGGAUUGGCUAGUAGGUGGGGUAAUGGCUCACCUAGGCGACGAGCCCUCGCUGGUCUGAGAGGAUGACCAGCCACACGGGAACUGAGAAACGGGCCAGAAUCCGACGGGAGGCAGCAGUGGGGAAUAUUGCACAAUGGGCGAAAGCCGGAUGCAGCCAUGCCGCGUGUGUGAAGAAGGCCUUCGGGUUGUAAAGCACUUUCAGCGAGGAGGCGUUACUCGCAGAAGAAGCACCGGCUAACUCCGUGCCAGCAGCCGCGGUAAUUC